rnacentral:lncRNA from 1 species
UGUUUGCAGAAUCUGCUUUCAGGAGUCUUGGACUUCUGUGAAUGGUUAUUCUUCUGGGUGUUCUGUCCCGUACUCUGACAGUACUGGGACAUCGCUGGAGACUUUGUUACUUUCUGUCCAACCGCUGAUGUGCUUCUGCCUAUAGCUUAGCCUAGGAUGGCUCAGCUGGAGCAGGAUGGUGAAAGGUAGCCUACAUGUGUGCACUGACAUGGCUGGGCUGGUCAGGCCUCCUAGCAAAAGACAAGUGAUUCUGACAAGAUGUUCCGACACUCAGCCCUCAGGAUGAUCAUCUGUUAAGAGAAAAGAUGGCUAUCCCGCCCAAUGUUUGGCCCCCUCCUGCAAAGGCCAAAACAUUCGUUGGGUUUUUCCUUUACUGUCUAAAUAAAGAAGAAUUUGUGCACAGUCUGAGUGGGUCAGGAUUUCAUCCCAUGGCCAUGUGGGAGCUCCAAGAUUUGAUCUCCGGGCUGACCUGUGCAAGCAUCCUGCCUCAUUCCAUUUGGCUGAAGCUCCUGCUCCACUUCUUGCUGGGCUGUGACCAUUCAGGAUCCCCCACUGUCCACCAGAGUCAGCACCUAAAAUGAGUGGGUCCUACAACCAGUGCUUGAGAGCACGGCCUCGGGACCAGAGCACCUGCCUUUCCAUCCAGUCCCUGCUUCUCAUGAGGAAGGUGUCCUUGGGGAGAGAAAAUCUUUUUCUGUCUGGUGUUUUUCAAAAUUUUGAUGAUGGACUCACAUCAAGGAUGAAGAGCUUUGAUGUCAUUUGAACACCACCACCAUCACCACCACCAGCAUCAACAAACAAACAAGCAAACAAGCGUGAACUCAGGAGCCCUGUGGCCCAGCCUCCAGUCCAUUUCCUCACUGUGAUCUGGCUAAGUCACCUCCCCUCCACCUCAGUUCAGUCACCUACACAACAGGAAUGGUGGCUCCUGGCGUGAAAAGUUCUUAGGAGCAUUCAGCAUGAUGCUGUGUGGAGCACUUGGAAACUGCGUGUGCAUCACCUCAUAUUUCUGGCCACAGGUCAUUCAGACAUCUGCCCUUUGCCCUGGAGGAGAACCACUAGGGACUUGUGCCCAUAAGCACCAAUUCUGGCUUUUACCCUACCCAUCCUUUGCCAUCCCAAACUAUGCCAUCAACAAAUUCUAGAAAUCAAGUUAGAAAUGCUGUUCCCACGAGGGUCUCUGUGGUCUCUCAGAACAACAAUCAGCUGGCCCUGCUGGGCAGAUGUUGCCCAAUCCUAACCCACACUUAGCUAUCAACUUAAUCAUUCUCAACUAAAAACACCUACCUGAACACUUUUAGGGGUUAAGAAUAGUAUAAUCUCACUUAGCCAUUUGCAUUUUUUCUUCUUUUUACAAAAAGAAAUUUAUCUUUUUUUUUUUUUGAGACGGAGUCUUGCUCUGUUGCCCAGGUUGGAGUGCAGUGGCGCAAUCUUGGCUCACUGCAAGCUCCGCCUCCUGGGUUAGCGCCAUUCUCCUGCCUCAGCCUCCCGAGUAGCUGGGACUACAGGUGCCUGCCACCACGCCUGGCUAAUUUUUUUGUAUUUUUAGUAGAGACGGGGUUUCACCGUGUUAGUCAGGAUCGUCUUGAUCUCCUGACAUCGUGAUUCGCCCUCCUCAGCCUCCCAAAGUGCUGGGAUUACAGGCGUGAGCCACUGCGCUCUGCCAAGAAUAGUAUAAUCUCACUUAGCCAUUUGUAUUUUUUCUUCUUUUUACAAAAAGAAAUUUAUCUCAUUAUUAUGUUUAAUCAGUUUCUUGAGGUAUAACUUAAGUGUGCUAAAAUUUGCUCUUUUUAGUGUACAGGUCUAGGAUUUUUGAGAAACACAUAUUCAUAUGUGACCACCCCCAUGAUCAACAUAUGGAACAGUCAUUUGCCACCCAAAAUUACCUUGUGCCCUUUUGUUGUCAGACUCUUCUUUCUCCAGACCCUGGCAACCACUGAUGGAUUUUCUGUCCCUAUAGUUUUGCCUUUUCCAGAAUGUUCUGCAAAUGUAAUCAUUUAGUAUGUAGCCUUUUAAGUCUGAUUUCUUUCACUCUGCAUAAUGCAUUUGAGAUUCACCCACGUUGUUACCUGUUACAAUGGUUUGUUCCUUUUUAUUGCGGAGUAAUAUUCCCUUGCAUGGAUGUACCACAGUUUGGGUAACCAUUCAACAGUCAAAUGAGAUUGAAUUUGUUUCCAUUUUUUGGUGAUUAUAAAUACAGCUAUAAACAUUUGUGAAAGUGUUUUGUAUGUACAUACAUUUUUCUUAGACAUUUGGUUUUAAGAGAUGUAUUUAGGUUUAGUUCCAGAUGAACAAUGAGAGACUGAAAGACUUAAGGGACCCCUGAGAAGAGCAGAGGGAAUAUUCCCUGAGGCAGCCAUCAGUCAGACCUGGCCCUGUCAUUUAAAUGUGGGCUAGUGGUAGCAAGAUGCUGUUAUUAUUUUCACCAAGGACAUUUUUUGAGUAGCAAUUAAAAUGAAGUCUAUUUCUCUGAGCCCCUGGAGAAGAACAUAAGCACAUGAUGGUAACCAUCAAUUUAGUGGGCCUAACGUUAUCUAGGUGGUUAAUGUUUCCAUGGCUUCUGGCAAUUCCCAGUGUAAGUCACCUGUGUAUACUGGGUGGAUGCUUCUUUAAAUUAAAGAUAAGCUGUUCAGCUUAAUAACAGCUAAGGGAGAAUAUAGAGCCCGUGGGUGAACUGUUUACUAACAAGCUUCUUCAGGGUCAUUCAACUUGAAUGAACUCUCUUUUAGGCUAACUUGGUUUGUGGAGGGAAUGCAUGUUUCUUAGUUAAAAUAGUUACAUUGGAAUCCCAACUGUGCACAGGACUUCAAGGGUAAUUAUGAACCCCCACUGCAGAUUUCAGGCUUAGCACCAAUUCUCCUUGCUUUCUACUUGUAUCCAUCAAAAACAGAAGUUACGAUGGAGUUACAGCUAUACUUGUAAGGGUCUCAGUGAACCUCUCCCACUAUUCUGCCUUAUCACCUUUGGGUUCCUGUGUUCUCUACCCCCUCCCCACUGCAUGUUUUCAUUCAGCCAGGAAACAUUUACUGCCUGCCUGGUAUCAAGCCCUUGCAUGAGGGUGGGAGCUCAUAAAGAUGACUACACUAGAGAAUCAUUUGACCUUUCUCAUGUAGACCUCAACAUGAAUGAGUUUCAAUGCUGAUAGGGCAAUCAUUACCUUCAGACAAAUUUUCAGGAACAGCCAAGACUAGAGAAUGUAUGGCUAAAACACAGCACUAUGCAUUUAUAAUAGUCAUGGGUUCUCCUGUUUUAAUUGUACAUGGAGAAUAUUUCAGCUUUAUUUGUAUGGGCUGCUCUUAUGUAAAACAUUAUUUCAAUGAGGAAAUGUGUUUGGGGUUCUAAAUGACUAACUUACAAACACAACUUUGAAUAAAGUCCAUGAAUAAUUUGAGGAUUUAUGUCUAUCAAUGGCUGAUUUACCAGAUUGUUGGCUUUGGGUUUAUUGGUAUCCAUGUUGAGAGGCAUCAGAUCAUCCAAGGUUUAAGUUUCGUCCUGACCACUGACUAGCAUUGAGACCUUAAUGGGAUUAAUAACAAUGAUAAUGAUAGUGACAAGAGCUAGCUUUUCAUGAGCACAGUGGCUAAGAGAGUUAGCAUCAGUUCUAGCUGCUUUCAUUGACAUAGAUGUAAAUGGGGAGGGAAACCAUGACUAGACUCAAAUCUCUGCUCUAACGUCUGAUACCUGAAUAUCACUUUGCAAGCCACGUCAUCUCUCUAAGUUGUAGCUCUUUGUCUGAAAAAUGUGGAUAGUUAAUACAUUAUAAAUAAAUUAUUAUUACAUUAAUACACAGAAAUUCAUAAUGCUAUUGUGGGGAUUACAUGAGAUGAUGGAAGUAUUUAAUCUAGUGUCUUGUAUAUGGCAAAUAAAAAAUAAAUAUUCACUGCUGUUAAU